rnacentral:rRNA from 1 species
CAGUCGCCGCGGUAAUACAGAGGGUGCGAGCGUUAAUCGGAUUUACUGGGCGUAAAGCGUGCGUAGGCGGCUUCUUAAGUCGGAUGUGAAAUCCCUGAGCUUAACUUAGGAAUUGCAUUCGAUACUGGGAAGCUAGAGUAUGGGAGAGGAAGGUAGAAUUCCAGGUGUAGCGGUGAAAUGCGUAGAGAUCUGGAGGAAUACCGAUGGCGAAGGCAGCCAUCUGGCCUAAUACUGACGCUGAGGUACGAAAGCAUGGGGAGCAAACAGGAUUAGAUACCCCCGUAGUCCCUGUCUCUUAUAC